UACAGAGGUCCCGAGCGUUGUUCGGAUUUAUUGGGCGUAAAGGGUGCGUAGGUGGCAAAGUAAGUUGGAUGUGAAAUCCUGGGGCUCAACCUCAGAAUUGCAUUCAAUACUGCUUAGCUAGAGAGCUGUAGAGGAGACUGGAAUUUACGGUGUAGCAGUGAAAUGCGUAGAUAUCGUAAGGAACGCCAGUGGCGAAAGCGCUCUACUGGACCGCAACUGACACUCAGGGACGAAAGCUAGGGGAGCGAAUGGG
rnacentral:rRNA from 1 species